AACGGCCUACCAAGGCAACGAUCCUUAGCUGGUCUGAGAGGAUGAUCAGCCACACUGGGACUGAGACACGGCCCAGACUCCUACGGGAGGCAGCAGUGGGGAAUAUUGGACAAUGGGCGCAAGCCUGAUCCAGCAAUGCCGCGUGAGUGAUGAAGGCCUUCGGGUUGUAAAGCUCUUUCGCACGCGACGAUGAUGACGGUAGCGUGAGAAGAAGCCCCGGCUAACUUCGUGCCAGCAGCCGCGGUAAUACGAAGGGGGCUAGCGUUGUUCGGAAUUACUGGGCGUAAAGGGCGCGUAGGCGGUACUUCAAGUCAGGCGUGAAAGCCCCGGGCUCAACCUGGGAACCGCGCUUGAGACUGGAGAACUAGAGUUCGGGAGAGGAUGG
rnacentral:ncRNA from 1 species